rnacentral:rRNA from 1 species
GCUUGUCUCAAAGAUUAAGCCAUGCAUGUCUAAGUAUAAAUGCUAUACAAUGAAACUGCGAAUGGCUCAUUAAAACAGUUAUAGUUUAUUUGGUAAUACACUUACAUGGAUAACCGUGGUAAUUCUAGAGCUAAUACAUGCUGUUAAGCCUGACUUCUUGAAGGGCUGUAUUUAUUAGAUAACAGACCAAUAUUCCUCGUGCUUUUGGUGAGUCAUGAUAACUGCGCGGAUCGCAUGGCCUUGCGCCGGCGACGCUUCAUUCAAAUUUCUGCCCUAUCAACUUUCGAUGGUAAGAUAGAGGCUUACCAUGGUGUUAACGGGUAACGGGGAAUUGGGGUUCGAUUCCGGAGAGGGAGCCUGAGAAAUGGCUACCACUUCCAAGGAAGGCAGCAGG